UAGGGAAUCUUCCACAAUGGGCGAAAGCCUGAUGGAGCAACGCCGCGUGUGUGAUGAAGGGUUUCGGCUCGUAAAACACUGUUGUAAGAGAAGAAUGACAUUGAGAGCAACUGUUCAAUGUGUGACGGUAUCUACCAGAAAGGAACGGCUAAAUACGUGCCAC
rnacentral:rRNA from 1 species